AUAAAAAAUAUUGAAGUUGUGCCAAAUGUGUAGAUGAUAACAAGAAGUUACAGUUGUUGGAUAGGCAUGAAUUUGGUGCUGGGGUAGGAGUUGCAAUUGUUGGGUUCUACCCAACUUUGGUUUGGUAUCUUUGGGGUUUGGGCAAUUCUAAGAUGUACUCUAAUAUUGACAUGUAAUGGAUGGACAUUUUUAUGUUAUGAGUAUUUUUAUGUUUUGGGCAUUUCUUGUUGUAAAUUUGUAAAUAUUUUGCUUUUGAGAAUGAAUGGACAGUUUCAGAUUUGUGUAUA